UGAUCGCAUCGGUGAUCAUAAUUUGCAUGACAGCUUUUCUGUUGACUGAAGGAUCUAAUUUUGUCGCCAUUUUCUCUGCCUUCAGCUAUCUGAUUGCCAUGGUCUGGCAAAUUUUUUUGUACUGUCUUGCGGGAAAUGAUUUUACGUAUUCGACAGAUAAAUUGUCGGAAAGAGCAAUGUUCAGUAACUACGUAUGUUUCAAUCGAACCACUGCUAAAGCUUUUCUUUUCUUUUUGACCAGGUACGAGCUACCCUUAUUUCUACACCUAACCAAACGAUUAACGUGACAUUCUAAUUUCAGAAUAAAGCGUCAGUCGGUUUUCAAGAUUGGUUUUAUUUUGCAAUUCACUCUAUCAUUUUCUAGUUUCAUUUUGAUCUUGAAAACAUCAUAUUCAUACUUUGCUGUUCUGAAUAGCACUCGCAAAUAAUUAUUAUUCGAGAUUCAAUAAUAACUCAACGCAUGUAUAAAAGUCGUAACUGAUUUGUCA